UUAGAGUGAUGCUAAUGUUUUCAAUUAACAGAUUGCUCCUAGAGAGAGUUGAUAAAUUGGGUCUGAGUGA